ensembl:rRNA 5S_rRNA 5S ribosomal RNA
AUCUAUGGCCAUACCUCCCUCAAUGUGCCCAAUCUCGUCUGAUCUCGGAAGCUAAGCAGGGUUGAGCCUGGUUAUACUUGGAUGGAAAGAAGAUCUUCAGAAGAGACUGCUCAGAGACAGUGUGGAGA